UGCGCGUGCUUACCUGCAGUCGAACGGUGAACACGGAGCUUGCUCUGUGGGAUCAGUGGCGAACGGGUGAGUAACACGUGAGCAACCUGCCCCUGACUCUGGGAUAAGCGCUGGAAACGGCGUCUAAUACUGGAUAUGUGACGUGACCGCAUGGUCUGCGUCUGGAAAGAAUUUCGGUUGGGGAUGGGCUCGCGGCCUAUCAGCUUGUUGGUGAGGUAAUGGCUCACCAAGGCGUCGACGGGUAGCCGGCCUGAGAGGGUGACCGGCCACACUGGGACUGAGACACGGCCCAGACUCCUACGGGAGGCAGCAGUGGGGAAUAUUGCACAAUGGGCGCAAGCCUGAUGCAGCAACGCCGCGUGAGGGACGACGGCCUUCGGGUUGUAAACCUCUUUUAGCAGGGAAGAAGCGAAAGUGACGGUACCUGCAGAAAAAGCGCCGGCUAACUACGUGCCAGCAGCCGCGGUAAUACGUAGGGCGCAAGCGUUAUCCGGAAUUAUUGGGCGUAAAGAGCUCGUAGGCGGUUUGUCGCGUCUGCUGUGAAAUCCGGAGGCUCAACCUCCGGCCUGCAGUGGGUACGGGCAGACUAGAGUGCG
rnacentral:rRNA from 1 species